GAUGAACGCUGGCGGCGUGCCUAAUACAUGCAAGUCGAGCGAACGGACGAGAAGCUUGCUUUUCUGAUGUUAGCGGCGGACGGGUGAGUAACACGUGGAUAACCUACCUAUAAGACUGGGAUAACUUCGGGAAACCGGAGCUAAUACCGGAUAAUAUUUUGAACCGCAUGGUUCAAAAGUGAAAGACGGUCUUGCUGUCACUUAUAGAUGGAUCCGCGCUGCAUUAGCUAGUUGGUAAGGUAACGGCUUACCAAGGCAACGAUGCAUAGCCGACCUGAGAGGGUGGUCGGCCACCCUGGAACUGAGACACGGUCCAGACUCCUGCGGGAGGCAGCAGUAGGGAAUCUUCCGCGAUGGGCGAAAGCCUGACGGUGCAACGCCGCGUGAGUGAUGAACGUCUUCGGAUCGUAAAACUCUGUUAUUAGGGAAGAACAUAUGUGUAAGCAACUGUGCACAUCUUGACGGUACCUAAUCAGAAAGCCACGGCUAACUACGUG
rnacentral:rRNA from 1 species